UACGGGGGGAGCAAGCGUUGUUCGGAUUUACUGGGCGUAAAGGGCGCGUAGGCGGCAUUGCAAGUCGGAUGUGAAAUCCCUCGGCUUAACCAAGGAAGUGCAUCCGAAACUGCAGUGCUUGAGUACUUAAGAGGAUCGCGGAAUUCCCGGUGUAGAGGUGAAAUUCGUAGAUAUCGGGAGGAACACCAGUGGCGAAGGCGGCGAUCUGGGAAGAUACUGACGCUGAGGUGCGAAAGCCGUGGGGAGCAACAGGG
rnacentral:rRNA from 1 species